UUUCAACGGCGAUGGGAGACGAGAAGCCGGCGGUUGUGAUGGCCAAUCGAGAAAGAGAUCGAGAGCUUGUUCCCGUCGCUGAUUCCGGCGACAAAGACGAUGGUCCUUCUUCGAAGCCUUCUUCUUCUUCUGCUUCCUCUUCCUCUUCCUCUUCUUCUUUGCAUCAAUCCAGCCACGAGACUUUAAGCUUGUUCAUUAGGGGUUGGGCGUCCAAGAAGUUCAUGACAGGCUGGUUCUUCUGUACAGAUCAGGACUAGUCACUGCUGCUGCAUCUUUUGUAGCUGUUCUACUGCUGCAUUUUUACCAGGAGACUCUUGGUUAAGUGAAAUAAUCAAACAAAACCAUGAUUUGUUUUACUUCGUUGGUGCUAGUGGUUUAGGGCUAUCUCUGUUUCUUAUUCAUAUUUAUGUUACGGAGAUUAAGAGGACUCUUCAAGCUUUAUGGGCACUUGGUUUUGUUGGUUCCUUGGCCACUUACGCAGCCCUUGCUAGACCAGCCGGUGAUAACUUGGUUCAGUAUGUCGUUGAUCAUCCUACUGCUGUUUGGUUUGUUGGUCCCCUUUUCGCUGCUCUUACAGGCCUUGUUUUCAAAGAAGGACUCUGCUACGGAAAACUAGAAGCUGCCUUCUUACAUUCAUCAUACCUUCAGUUCUUCUUGGUCAUUUGAGUGGUCUGAUGAAUGAUGAGGCAAAACUGGUGUUGCUAGGAAGUUAUACAGGAAAGGAAAAGUCACAAGAGUUUGGUAGCAAAGUUACACCUAUUGUCUCUAAAGUUCUCUUCUUUGAGCAAGUUCAUCUCCUUCAAAAGUCUCCGGAAUGGUAUAUAUAUAAGCUUCUGAGGAUAUGCUUGAAGAUGAUGUAGCUUCAAACAAAGCAAUAGGACCCUUUGGUUUGAACAUGUUGAGAACUUGAUCAGUUUAGGACAUGACUUUGUGUUUUGUUUAUGGUUUGGUUUGAUGGUUACAUCUUCUCUUCUAGAGUUCAUGAUUGUCAUGUGUUCAUUUUGUAUGAUUUGGAUCUUUUAUGGGAAAGCAAUGGUAUUUUAUGUUUUUUUUGUUGGCUUUA